AGAGUGAACGCUGGCGGUAGGCCUAACACAUGCAAGUCGAACGGCAGCACAGGAGAGCUUGCUCUCUGGGUGGCGAGUGGCGGACGGGUGAGGAAUACAUCGGAAUCUACCUUUUCGUGGGGGGAUAACGUAGGGGAAACUUACGCUAAUACCGCAUAAGACCUUCGGGUGAAAGCCGGGGACCUUCGGGCCUGGCGCGGAUAGAUGAGCCGAUGUCGGAUUAGCUUGUUGGCGGGGUAAAAGCCCACCAAGGCGACGAUCCGUAGCUGGUCUGAGAGGAUGAUCAGCCAUACUGGAACUGAGACACGGUCCAGACUCCUACGGGAGCAGCAGUGGGAAUAGUUGGACGAAGUGGGCGACAAGCCUGACUACGAGCCAUACCGGCGUGGGUACGAAG
rnacentral:rRNA from 1 species